CUAGGGACCAGGGCAGCAGAGUUCUCUGGGCCAGGUGACCUUUUCAUGGCUGAGCCUGUGUGCGCAUGGUGAGAUGCUGGGAAAUACACUCGCGGGUUCCACAUUGUCCAUGCCUCUUCCUUCAGAUGGGGCAGAAUUUGACUCUGAGAUGUAAACGACUGAGCCGGGAGACCCAUGUGAGAAUGUUCAGAGCAGCAUUGUUCACAAGAGAAAAACCUGGAAACCGCCCAAAUGCCCAUCAACAACAGAGGGGAUGAAUGAGCUGUGGUUGUGUGGUCGCCGGGUGAAAUGCUAGACAGCAGGCAAAACGAAGGACCUCGUGUAACCUCCAGCAAUACGGACGAGUCUCAGCAGCAGAAAAUUGAGAUGAAAAAGUCCCCAGAGAUGACUUGCCAUUAACAUUAAAAACACGUGACUUUAUGACCAUAUGGGUGCAAUUACACUACACAAAGCAUUAAGCAAGGGGCUGAUGAACACAGGACAGGAUGACAGUCACCGCAGUGGGGGGUAGGGCCAGUAUGGGAACAGGGGUUAGAAGUGGGUGAUGGUUGAGGAUUAACUAUUGGUUGAGGUGGUGAGUUUAUGGAUGCUCAUUGCGUUAGUAAAACCAGGGAAACAAUAUAAAUAAAAGUGGGAUUUGCGCGGAACACUAAUAAGACCGCCAUGGACCAAGGAUUCUGUAAGCCUGAGACCCAAACAAAGAAAUCAAAUGAAACAAAAGAUAUGAACUGGGAAGACCCUCGUGCUGACCCAAAGAAGAAGCCACAGGAGAGACAUGAUCCGUAAGUGGUGGGGGACCAAGAGCUGGGCAGCCUCAAGCUUGGUGGAUCCCACGGCCCCUGUGUUAGUUUCCUGUUGCUGCAUAACAAAUUAUAGUUGUCCCUGGGGGAUCUGUGGGGGAUUGGCUCCAGGAUCUCUCAGAAUCUGUGGAUACACAAGUCUCUUAUAUAAAAUGGCACAGGCUUCAUAUAUCCCACACCCCUCCUCCCAUAUGUUUGAAGUCAUCCCUGGAUUGCAUACAAUAUCCAAUACAACGUAAAUGUGAUGUAAA